rnacentral:rRNA from 1 species
ACACUGACGUCGCGACGCAUAUCAAUAAGCGGAGGAAAAGAAACUAACAAGGAUUCCCUUAGUAACGGCGAGUGAAGCGGGAAGAGCUCAAAUUUGAAAUCUUCAAGGUUUUACCUUGACGAAUUGUAGUUUAAAGAAGUGUUUUCUGUUGGAGUUUUGGUAAAAGUUCUUUGGAAUAGGACAUCAUAGAGGGUGAGAAUCCCGUAUUUGACCAUUAUUUCCAGCUUUGUGAUACACUUUCAAAGAGUCGGAUUGUUUGGGAAUGCAGUCCAAAAUGGGUGGUAAAUUUCAUCUAAAGCUAAAUAUUGGCGAGAGACCGAUAGCGAACAAGUACCGUGAGGGAAAGAUGAAAAGAACUUUGAAAGGAGAGUUAAACAGUACGUGAAAUUGUCAAAAGGGAAGCGUUUGACACCAGUGUUGUUUUUCCGAAAAUCAAUUACGAAUGUUUUGUUUUGAGGAGUUAUGACCUCAUCGGCUUGCUCCUUUCUUUAUGAAACUUUCUUAAUGCACUUUUCGGUUAACAAGUCAACAUCAAUUUCUUUUGUUGUAAAAGGUUAAGAGGAAGGUGGCUUUACUUUCGGGUAAAGUGUUUAUAGCCUUUUAACUCUGCAAUCGGAGAGAUUGAGGUCUGCAGCGUAGAUCCUUCGGGGCUAGAUACGUUUGUGCUAAGUUAUAGCUUUUCAUAGACAACUUGUUGACUAUGUUUAGUCUUGUAGCUUACUCGCAUGCGCUAUUUUACCUACGCUUAGGAUGUUGACGCGCGUGUGUGCGUG